UACGAAGGGGGCUAGCGUUGUUCGGAAUCACUGGGCGUAAAGGGCGCGUAGGCGGCUUUAUAAGUCGGGGGUGAAAGCCUGUGGCUCAACCACAGAAUUGCCUUCGAUACUGUAGAGCUUGAGACCGGAAGAGGUAAGUGGAACUGCGAGUGUAGAGGUGAAAUUCGUAGAUAUUCGCAAGAACACCAGUGGCGAAGGCGGCUUACUGGUCCGGUAUUGACGCUGAGGCGCGAAAAGCUAGGGUAGCAAAC
rnacentral:rRNA from 1 species